AGGACGAACGCUGGCGGCGUGCUUAACACAUGCAAGUCGAGCGGAAAGGCCCUUCGGGGUACUCGAGCGGCGAACGGGUGAGUAACACGUGAGUAAUCUGCCCAUCGCUUCAGGAUAGCCAUCGGAAACGGUGAUUAAUACUGGAUAUGACAUUCCUUCGCAUGUUGGGGUGUGGAAAGUUUUUUCGGCGGUGGAUGUGCUCGCGGCCUAUCAGCUUGUUGGUGGGGUAAUGGCCUACCAAGGCUUUGACGGGUAGCCGGCCUGAGAGGGUGACCGGCCACACUGGGACUGAGACACGGCCCAGACUCCUACGGGAGCAGCAGUGGGAUAUGGACAAGUGGGCGGAAGCCUAGACUCCAGCCAACGCCGCGUGGAGGA
rnacentral:rRNA from 1 species